rnacentral:rRNA from 1 species
GGGGAAUCUUCCGCAAUGGGCGAAAGCCUGACGGAGCAAUGCCGCGUGAAUGAAGAAGGCCUUCGGGUCGUAAAAUUCUGUCCUUAUUGAAGAGAGGUUCAUGUGUAAACAAUGCAUGAAUAGGACGGUAGAUAAGGAGGAAGCCCCGGCUAACUACGUGCCAGCAGCCGCGGUAAUACGUAGGGGGCGAGCGUUGUCCGGAAUCACUGGGCGUAAAGGGCGCGUAGGCGGUCUAGUAAGUCAGAUGUGAAAAGUGAGGGCUCAACCCUUAGAGUGCAUCUGAUACUGCUAGGCUUGAGUACAGAAGAGGAAAGCGGAAUUCCUAGUGUAGCGGUGAAAUGCGUAGAUAUUAGGAGGAACACCAGUGGCGAAGGCGGCUUUCUGGGCUGAAACUGACGCUGAGGCGCGAAAGCGUGGGGAGCAAACAGGAUUAGAUACCCUGGUAGUCCACGCCGUAAACGAUGGGUACUAGGUGUCGGGGGUAUCGAUACCCUCGGUGCCGGAGUAAACACAAUAAGUACCCCGCCUGGGGAGUACGAUCGCAAGAUUGAAACUCAAAGGAAUUGACGGGGGCCCGCACAAGCGGUGGAGCAUGUGGUUUAAUUCGACGCAACGCGAAGAACCUUACCAAGACUUGACAUCCUGCUGACGGAUUGGGUAAUGCCGAUCGUUCUACUUCGGUAGACAGCAGAGACAGGUGGUGCAUGGUUGUCGUCAGCUCGUGUCGUGAGAUGUUGGGUUAAGUCCCGCAACGAGCGCAACCCUUGUCUUUAGUUGCCAGCAUUAAGUUGGGCACUCUAAAGAGACUGCCGGUGACAAACCGGAGGAAGGUGGGGAUGACGUCAAAUCAUCAUGCCCCUUAUGUCUUGGGCUACACACGUGCUACAAUGGUCGGUACAAAGGGCAGCGAGACCGCGAGGUGGAGCGAAUCCCAAAAAGCCGAUCCCAGUUCGGAUUGCAGGCUGCAACCCGCCUGCAUGAAGUCGGAAUCGCUAGUAAUCGCAGGUCAGCAUACUGCGGUGAAUACGUUCCCG